CGAUAAGCCGCCCUUCCCGUGUUGCCUUUAUUCCUUAAACUGCCUGUAUUUGUAACGUUUGGGUGUAUUUGGGGUUCGGCUGUGGAGCCGCUGCUGUGGAAAUGCAGCAUGCUCCCUUGGCGUUGGCUGGACAAAAUGGCGGUGGCUCGGCCCUGGCAGCCAGCGCCAUUGACGGUGGUGUCAGGCUGCAGGUAAAGAUUGUUAAUCGAAACAGAAAACUAGAUUGGGGGUGCAUCUCUGAUACAAUUUCUCAUUCAGGAAGCAGUCUGUUGAAGCGAUCGCUUUGCCUUUUUUGGUAAGAAUGUCGAUGGGUGACUUGAGGUAAAGCACUCCUCAGCGCAGAGCCGUUGCCCGUAGUUUUUCAAAUGGGCAGACACAGGCUGUGGCCUCUUCAAAACCAGGUCUAACAGAGAAACGGUGACAGCCUCUUCGUAAUUCUCCAACAGCAGAUAAAAGGAUUGGAAGGUAACUGCCAAUUAAGUGCUUCAUAAUUGAUACAAGAAUAAUUGUACAAGGAAAUAAAAAUGUCUGAUAACAGAUCUGUAUGAGGGAGAGCAGGUACAGAACACUGUCUUUCAUAAGACAAAUUUAUUAGUGGGAAAAGAUGACUCCACAUUCCUUUUCUGUAACCGCUUUUGAGCGGUGCUGAAUGUCUUGUGGACUGUUUCAUUCUUGCAUCCCUCAGACCAAAACGGAGGCAUCAAUAUUGACAGCAGCAGUGUUAAAAGUUAAUGCCUGUGAAUUACCAUGUUGAGCACAUGGACCAUAAAAAAUGUGCUAACUAACAGGUGACCUGAGUUUCUGCGUGUCUUGAACAGACCUGAACCAGAAAAAUGCCAUUCAGAGUUCACUGAUUUGGGUUUGAAGUAGAUCAGCAGAUUUAACCUGAGAAGUGACAGGUACAGGCAGACAUCCACCUCCAACUGUGCAACAGGCUGAAGAUGAUUCAGUUGGAGAGCAGUCAGAGAUCUGGGAUGCUCAGUCCAGUUCACUGCUUUCCUGUGUUAGCUCAGGACUAGAAGAAUGUAGUGGAGCAUGCAUCUGGCAGUGUGACAUUAUUCCUAUGGUGUGCAGUGUGCCCUUCAUGUGGAGAAUCACCAAAGUCAUUUCUGCUGCAGUCAUCUAGGCAUGAGGAGUUGUACUGUGUGCACUGAGGAGAGCUGGAAAGGGCAAUGGUGUCAUCACCUGAGGGGAAACAAUCAGAAAGAAAUGAGGAGGGGAAAUUUUAUCGCUUAUUUUUAGACUCCGUGGGUGAGUAUUAUUUUCAGCUUUGUCUGUAUUAAUUUCUGCAGAACACUGUGCCAACGUGUGACUGGCUGCCUACGAACAGAUCAUUGUAAUUUCUAGCUAAGGCUGAAGCAAUCAGUCACUAGCAAUCCCUGGAGACUCGAAUCUACCCAUUUGUACCAAGAUAAGGUAGCAGCCAAAGACAUGCAGUGUAGAUAUGUUCGAGACAUCUAUAAGCUAGCUAGUUGAGAAAUAAACCUUACCACAUGUAUUAUACUAGAUGAGCUCAGAAAUAUUUGUCCAUGACACUGGGUCAGUCUUUCAUGUAGCUCAAGAUAUUCUGUCACUGGAUUUAACAUGAGUUAGUUUAAAGCUAACUUUUGAUACAUGGAGCUGUUCCCAUACUUGUGAUUGCAUACCUUCUGCAUUUACCUUCUGCCUUCAGCACAAGACUACACUCUCAUAGGCUUCCUUGAAGAACAUGCUGCUUGUUAAUCAGCACUUUAUUGUUUCAGUAUGCUUAAAAUAAGCAUUUUGUCACAUUCAAGAAGAAGAAACUUUAUUGGUUUGCAUUCUGGCACCAUGCUUCACGUUGUCAAGUGCUGUCAUUUGGCUUCUUUCUGUAACUUAUUUACAGAGAGAGGGAGCUUGAGAUUGAAACAUUCUGGUAACAAUUUUCACCAGGUACAUAUUGUAUGUGUUUUAGAAGUAUCUCUAAUCUUAGAAAGAACAAGAGACAGAAUGGGUAAUAGUCUGUUCUGGUGUGCUGGAGAGGUCUAGCCUCUAGUUGCUGCAUAGGACAGGGAAAAAGCAAAAAUUCCACUGUUGCACAGUGAACGUAAGCAAAGAAGACAGCAUCUUACCAAAGGACAUUCUGAUUUCCUUUAUAAACAGCUAAGAAGCAGCUUUACUGCAUCCCUCACUCAGUAUUAAGGAAGGGACCUUUGAGGGGACAAUAGAUGUUAUGCCUACCAAAAUUCUCUUUGACUGCCUUAGAAUGUGUCUGUAGUCUAAGCAGCAGU